GCCUUCAUGGUGUAAUGGUAACACACUCGGCGCAUAUUCGAGAGGUCCAGGUUCGAAUUCUGGCCAGGGAA
rnacentral:tRNA from 1 species